rnacentral:rRNA from 1 species
UACGGGGGGGGCAAGCGUUGUUCGGAAUUACUGGGCGUAAAGCGCACGUAGGCGGAUUUGUUAGUCAGGGGUGAAAUCCCGGGGCUCAACCUCGGAACUGCCUUUGAUACUGCAAGUCUCGAGUCCGGAAGAGGUGAGUGGAAUUCCUAGUGUAGAGGUGAAAUUCGUAGAUAUUAGGAAGAACACCAAUGGCGAAAGCAGCUCUCUGGGACGGUACUGACGCUGAGACGCGAAAGCGUGGGGAGCGAACAGG